rnacentral:rRNA from 1 species
UACGUAGGGGGCGAGCGUUGUCCGAAGUUACUGGGCGUAAAGCGCGCGUAGGCGGCUAUUUAAGUCUGGGGUGAAAGGUUCAGCGCUCAACGCGAACAGUGCCUUGGAUACUGGAUGGCUUGAGUUCGGGAGAGGUGAGUGGAGCUGCGAGUGUAGAGGUGAAAUUCGUAGAUAUUCGCAAGAACACCAGUGGCGAAGGCGGCUCACUGGCCCGAUACUGACGCUGAGGCACGAAAGCGUGGGGAGCAAACAGG